GAUGAAUGCUGGCGGCGUGCCUAAUACAUGCAAGUCGAGCGAACAGACGAGGAGCUUGCUCCUCUGACGUUAGCGGCGGACGGGUGAGUAACACGUGGAUAACCUACCUAUAAGACUGGGAUAACUUCGGGAAACCGGAGCUAAUACCGGAUAAUAUAUUGAACCGCAUGGUUCAAUAGUGAAAGACGGUUUUGCUGUCACUUAUAGAUGGAUCCGCGCCGCAUUAGCUAGUUGGUAAGGUAACGGCUUACCAAGGCGACGAUGCGCAGCCGACCUGAGAGGGUGAUCGGCCACACUGGAACUGAGACACGGUCCAGACUCCUACGGGAGGCAGCAGUAGGGAAUCUUCCGCAAUGGGCGAAAGCCUGACGGAGCAACGCCGCGUGAGUGAUGAAGGUCUUCGGAUCGUAAAACUCUGUUAUUAGGGAAGAACAAAUGUGUAAGUAACUAUGCACGUCUUGACGGUACCUAAUCAGAAAGCCACGGCUAACUACGUG
rnacentral:rRNA from 1 species